UGGAACCCAGAUUUGCAUCAGUUAGCAACAGUGUGAUGCCCAACAAUCAGGACUCAUAGAAAGUCACUACACUUGAUAUCCUGUUUAGUCAUCCGCCUUGCUGAUUCAUUUCUUCCUCCUCCUCCUCCAUCAUCAUCAUCAUUUUCAUCUUCUUCUACUUUGCCCAUAUGGCUUCUAGCUUAGUAUCUUGAUAUAGUCAGAUGCAUAUGUAUUUAAACUGCCAAGGCUAGAUAUGGAAGCAUAUAUAUUUACUCCUCUCUUUCCCACAAACAGGCUUGGAUUGGCAACCUUGGAAUCUUCUGUUAGUUAAAUCAUACAAGUUUCUGGUCCAUAGGCUGAAAAUAUGCAGGGAGGCAGCUAACCAUUCAACAGGGACACUGAACUGUCUUAGGGCAUCUGAAUGGGAAUAUAAACUGCAGAAUUUCUUGAUUCUUUCUUGCCUUUACAAACAGAAUAAUCUAUGGUUUGGCCUUUGAGAAAAGUAGAGCAACAGAACUCCAAACAGCAUCUUCUGGAUUUUAAAAUGUUGCAAAAAAACAACCAACCAAGUAUAAUAAUCAGGAUUAAAUGUGAGAGAAGUGAAGGAAAUCCCUGGAUCUUUUAAACUUAAAAUGAUUCAAAAGACUCAAAGGCUCUAGUUACCACUUAUGCCUGAAAUGGCUCUAUACAAGUGCUUCUGCCCCCCACUUUUUUUGGAAAAAAGGGAGACUGCUGGGGAGUGUGUGUGUGUGUGUGUGUGUGUGUGUGUGUGGAUGGGAGAUGUAUGGAUUUGAUUUUCUUCCCUUGCUCCCCCUCCUGCUCCCCUCCCUUCACAGCCUAAAUGCUUCACUUAUGAAGUAAUCCCUGCGGAGAUAUGACAUCAGCACUCCUCUGGAUAGCUCAGAGCUGAUGGCUGGCCAGGCAGAACUUCUUCCGUUGAAUGUUUCCCAUCCAAGAGAAAACACCUUAUGAUGUCAAGGUCCCCUUGCUAUUACUCUCCCUCUCUGGGAUGCCAAGAAGUUCAGGAGUGGGCUCCACAGAUGGCAGCUCCGAGGUGAACAGCAGCAAAAGAACAAGGCCUGCGCUCGCCACGCACAUCUCUCAAAGCUGCCCUGACAAACUCCUUUGAGGGUUGGCUCUCUCUUUAAUGAUCUUCCAGCCGCUACUUCUUGUCCUGUCCUCAGGUGUUUUGGAGAAUGGGUUGACCCUCUCUACUUUGGGACAGUCCCUCAAAUAUUGGAAGAUUGCUAUCAUGUUACACCUAAGGCACUAGGUUUUAUUCCACAAAACGUGCUUGAAUUCACCAUGUCUUCGCACAAGGUAUGAGCACAACUACAAUUUUAUCAAGGGCCUCUGGUGGCUCAGCAGACUAAGUCUGUCCGUUAUUAACACAGCUGCUUGCAAUUACUGCAAGUUCAAGUCCCACCAGGCCCAAGGUUGACUCAGCCUUCCAUCCUUUAUAAGGUAGGUAAAAUGAGGACCCAGAUUGUUGGGGGCAAUAAAAGUUGACUUUGUAUAUAAUAUACAAAUGGAUGAAGACUAUUGCUUAACAUAGUGUAAGCCGUCCUGAGUCUGCGGAGAAGGGCGGGAUAUAAAUUCAAAUAAAUAAAACAACAACAACAACAACAAAAAACAAAAACUACUGUAUGAUUCUUGGAGUAUACUAGUCAUUUUGAGAAUUUUCUUGUGGUUGAAAAAGUCAGCCAGGUGGAUUUAAUUUUUUUUUAAAAAUACACCCAAUGGAAUGGAGUAUGUUAAACAUCUAGGAUUUGAAUGACCAUUGCAUCGCAGCAUUCAAGUGAAUUCAAACCUGUUGUGCUGGCCUUGUAGAAAGAGCUGCAUUGUUAGUUAUAUGGAACACCCAAGGAAAUGACCCUAAGCUAUUUCCUGUCUUUGCCACAUAAUCACAUUUCUCCAAUCAUUUUGACUUUCUACCAGGAAAGACCCAUCUGCUUGUCAGUUUUUUGCUUCAUUUGAGUCAGGGGUGGCAAACUCGAUUUUAACAUAACAUAACAUAACAUAACAUCAGAGUUGGAAGGGACCUUGGAGGCCUUCUAGUCCAACCCCCUGCCCAGGCAGGAAACCCUACACCAUCUCAGUCAGAUGGUUAUCCAACAUUUUAUUGAGGACUGUAUCAGGGUUAUGUUUAACCUGGGGGUGGGGCCCAGGGUUUAUGUGACCAGCUCGAUGUCACUUGUGUCGGGGCGGCCCAAGUGCUCUGCCAGUGAAAAUGAGCUGCCGAACUCUGUUUUCGGCUGCAAUUACCUUCUGCAACCUUCUGCCAGUGAAAAUGGAGCUUGGGAGGGUUGCGGCAGUCCUCCCAAGCUCCGCUUUCGCUGGCAGAGGCACCACAGGAUGGUCCUUCACUGUGUCCAGGGCAGCCCUGCGGGCCAGAUCUAAGCACCCUAUGGGGCCUUGAGUUUGACACCCUUGAUUUGCGCCAUAGAGUGAUAGGGAACUUGCCUAAUAUGGCAUGAACACAGAGAGAGCGCGAGAUAGAGGGGAAGGGAGCUAGUUUGCAUUCUAAGAUGCCAAUCAGCUAUUAAUCUUUCAGAGAUCAAUUUCACUAUCUCACAUAGGGUGGUAGAAGGACAGCAGGCAGAAACCCCAUUGAUCCAAAAGUCUUCUGAGGUAGGUAACCAUAAAAUGGUGCCACCUAAAAGUAUUUCUCUGGAGGAACAUCCUUCUAAGCACUUGGUUAUUUCUUCAUGUAUUCUCUCAGACAUCCUAUGAAAUUGAUAUUCUUCAAUCACUUAGUCAAGGAAAAUCCUUUCCCCCUCUUUAUCAUUCUCUCUGAAUUGUGUAAAAGGAAAAUAUUGUCCUAUACAGGUUGUUGACACACCUUCCUGUGAGUGUAAACAGCCACAAGCUCUUGACUCUGUCUAUGUUGGCUGUGGCUAAUGGUAGUUGGAGCCCAAAAUACCAAGGGGGUGUUGCCUUGCCUGUCUGUGGAACUUCUAAAUCUGGGUCCAUGUAUCGCCCUAACUAAUGUUUUGUUGAAUUUCUCUUUCUUAGAUAAAUACAGUAUGUUGGACUGAUGCAUCAUACUGAGCGAUUAAACAUGCUUUAGAAAUUUCACUGGCUGAAUUCACAUAAAACACUAAAAUGAAAACAAGCUGAAUCCAUUAUAUUUUAUUAUAUGGAGCCCAGCCAAUAUUCAGUUUACUGAGCAAAUAGUCUGACCUGUUGAUAUUUUUUAUGUUCCUGGUCCAUGGCAGAGGAAUUCAGGUCCUGCAUUUCUGAGAUAUAAAAAUCUGGAUGAUCGUUAGAUGGGAGCAAAAUGAUACUGAAAAUCUAACUUUGUGGUUGAAUAUGUUCUCCUAGUCAUUGCCCCUUCCCAGAUUAUGUGACAAGUCCUACCAAUUUAGCCUUAGAGUCUCAUCCAUGGGACCCUCUCUUCUAAAUGUUGAAUGUGUCCUUUGUCUACCACUGUAGUAGAUGGACCAAUAGUUUAUCAGGAAUAACUUCAUAUGGCUACUUCUAAGUAGCAUAUUCUAUUGUUAUUGGAAAUUCUUUAGUCAUUCUUGAAAAAAUAUAGGGCCACCCAGGAGUGGGGAAUGGUAUGAUGCUCUUCUAGAGUGAAGAUCGGAAGCCUUGCCAGCUGGAGACCAUGAUAAGGCAGUGCAGCUGGCACCUAUGCCAGGCUUCCAAGCUGCCACAACUGAUAAGUUUCAGAAAAGGCGUUCAGACUAUCCUGCCAGGCAGUGGGCUUUUAAAAUGGACCUUCUUAAAAAUGGAUGGUCCGCACAGUCAGGAACGACUGAAUGGUAUUUGUGAUAUUUGCUCCUUUUCUCAUUCUGCUCUCACAUCUGAAAUUUCCCAGCCAUGGGCAGAAUUUUACUACUCAUUUAUAUAUAUGUUAUUUUAUUAAACAAAUAAAUAUGAUAUAGAUAUGACCAUCCAUCUAACCAGUGGAAUGUUUGCAUGAUCCUAUGGCCACAUCUGAAUGCUCUUUCUCCCU